rnacentral:rRNA from 1 species
UGUAGCCUGAUAUUGAAAUUCGGCACAGCUUGUACAGGAUAGGUAGGAGCCUUAGAUACGUGAGCGCUAGCUUACGUGGAGGCGUUGGUGGGAUACUACCCUCGCUGUGUUGGAUUUCUAACCCGCAUCACUAAUCGUGGUGGGAGACAGUGUCAGGUGGGCAGUUUGACUGGGGCGGUCGCCUCCCAAAAGGUAACGGAGGCGCUCAAAGGUUCCCUCAGAAUGGUUGGAAAUCAUUCAUAGAGUGUAAAGGUAUAAGG